rnacentral:rRNA from 1 species
UUAGAGUUUGAUCCUGGCUCAGAGCGAACGCUGGCGGCAGGCUUAACACAUGCAAGUCGAACGGGCACUUCGGUGCUAGUGGCAGACGGGUGAGUAACGCGUGGGAACGUGCCUUUCGGUUCGGAAUAAUCCAGGGAAACUUGGACUAAUACCGGAUACGCCCUUCGGGGGAAAGAUUUAUCGCCGAAAGAUCGGCCCGCGUCUGAUUAGCUAGUUGGUGAGGUAAAGGCUCACCAAGGCGACGAUCAGUAGCUGGUCUGAGAGGAUGAUCAGCCACAUUGGGACUGAGACACGGCCCAAACUCCUACGGGAGGCAGCAGUGGGGAAUAUUGGACAAUGGGCGCAAGCCUGAUCCAGCCAUGCCGCGUGAGUGAUGAAGGCCUUAGGGUUGUAAAGCUCUUUUGUCCGGGAAGAUAAUGACUGUACCGGAAGAAUAAGCCCCGGCAACUUCG